rnacentral:rRNA from 1 species
GCAUAUCAAUAAGCGGAGGAAAAGAAACCACCAGGGAUUGCCUCAGUAGCGGCGAGUGAAGCGGCAAAAGCUCAAAUUUGAAAUCUGGCGUCUUUGGCGUCCGAGUUGUAAUUUGAAGAAGGUAUCUUUGGGCCCGGCUCUUGUCUAUGUUCCUUGGAACAGGACGUCACAGAGGGUGAGAAUCCCGUGCGAUGAGAUGACCCGGGUCUGUGUAAAGUUCCUUCGACGAGUCGAGUUGUUUGGGAAUGCAGCUCUAAGUGGGUGGUAAAUUCCAUCUAAAGCUAAAUAUUGGCGAGAGACCGAUAGCGAACAAGUACAGUGAUGGAAAGAUGAAAAGAACUUUGAAAAGAGAGUGAAAAAGUACGUGAAAUUGUUGAAAGGGAAGGGCUUGAGAUCAGACUUGGUAUUUUGCAUGCUGCUCUCUCGGGGGCGGCCGCUGCGGUUUACCGGGCCAGCAUCGGUUUGGAGCGGCAGGAUAAUGGCGGAGGAAUGUGGCACGGCUUCUGCUGUGUGUUAUAGCCUCUGACGAUACUGCCAGCCUAGACCGAGGACUGCGGUUUUUACCUAGGAUGUUGGCAUAAUGAUCUUAAGUCGCCCGUCUUGA